GUAGGGAAUAUUGGGCAAUGGAUGCAAGUCUGACCCAGCCAUCCCGCGUGCCGGAAGAAGGCCCUCAGGGUUGUAAACGGCUUUUGACGGUGAAGAAUCGACAGGAUGCGUCCUGUUUUGACGGUAGCCGUUGAAUAAGCACCGGCUAACUCCGUGCCAGCAGCCGCGGUAAUACGGAGGGUGCGAGCGUUGUCCGGAUUUAUUGGGUUUAAAGGGUGCGUAGGCUGGAAGGUCAGUUAGCGGUGAAAAGCUGUCGCUUAACGAUAGUCUUGCCUCAGAUACUUCCUGUCUUGGAUGAGGAGGAGGCCACUGGAACGGAUGGUGUAGCGGUGAAAUGCAUAGAUAUCAUCCAGAACACCGAUUGCGAAGGCAGGUGGCUGUACCUUAAUCGACGCUGAUGCACGAAAGCAUGGGGAGCAAACAGGAUUAGAAACCCCUGUAGUCC
rnacentral:rRNA from 1 species